GUCAACAAGGUAGAUCAAGAAUCAACAAAAGAUCAUUCAGAACUUUAAGGUUACAGAUUGCUAUUUUCAUUUGGAAAUGACUAAAGGCUUUAAAAAUAUGUUUCAAUCUCUCUUAAAAUUCUUUGCAUCUAAAGACAUAAAAACCUUUUUAAAAAAUCUAAGUAAAGACUUCGAACAGCUUAUAUUCAUGUCUUGUCCAGUUGAACCUUAAAAGUGAGGACUUAAACACAUGGAAGAAAAGGCUUUUUUCACUUAACAUUAUGAAAAUGCAGACGUGUGUCCAGAUCUGUCAAGCCCACAGUUUCUCUUUGGAUGAUAAAGCUC